rnacentral:rRNA from 1 species
GUGGGGAAUCUUGCGCAAUGGGCGAAAGCCUGACGCAGCCAUGCCACGUGAAUGAUGAAGGUCUUAGGAUUGUAAAAUUCUUUCACCGGGGACGAUAAUGACGGUACCCGGAGAAGAAGCCCCGGCUAACUUCGUGCCAGCAGCCGCGGUAAUACGAAGGGGGCUAGCGUUGCUCGGAAUUACUGGGCGUAAAGGGCGCGUAGGCGGACAGUUUAGUCAGAGGUGAAAGCCCAGGGCUCAACCUUGGAAUUGCCUUUGAUACUGGCUGUCUUGAGUACGGGGGAGGGGGGUGGAAAUCCGAGUGUAGAGGUGAAAUUCGUAGAUAUUCGGAAGAACACCAGUGGCGAAGGCGACUCACUGGCCCGUUACUGACGCUGAGGCGCGAAAGCGUGGGGAGCAAACAGGAUUAGAUACCCGAGUAGUCC